rnacentral:rRNA from 1 species
GAUGAACGCUGGCGGCGUGCCUAAUACAUGCAAGUCGAGCGAACGGACGAGAAGCUUGCUUUUCUGAUGUUAGCGGCGGACGGGUGAGUAACACGUGGAUAACCUACCUAUAAGACUGGGAUAACUUCGGGAAACCGGAGCUAAUACCGGAUAAUAUUUUGAACCGCAUGGUUCAAAAGUGAAAGACGGUCUUGCUGUCACUUAUAGAUGGAUCCGCGCUGCAUUAGCUAGUUGGUAAGGUAACGGCUUACCAAGGCAACGAUGCAUAGCCGACCUGAGAGGGUGAUCGGCCACACUGGAACUGAGACACGGUCCAGACUCCUACGGGAGGCAGCAGUAGGGAAUCUUCCGCAAUGGGCGAAAGCCUGACGGGGCAACGCCGCGUGAGUGAUGAAGGUCUUCGGAUCGUAAAACUCUGUUAUUAGGGAAGAACAUAUGUGUAGGUAACUGUGCACAUCUUGACGGUACCUAAUCAGAAAGCCACGGCUAACUACGUG